rnacentral:rRNA from 1 species
GACGAACGCUGGCGGCGUGCUUAACACAUGCAAGUCGAGCGGAAAGGCCCUUCGGGGUCCUCGAGCGGCGAACGGGUGAGUAACACGUGAGUAACCUGCCCUAGGCUUUGGGAUAACCCCGGGAAACCGGGGCUAAUACCGGAUAUGACCUGGUGCCGCAUGGUGUUGGGUGGAAAGUUUUUUCGGCCUGGGAUGGGCUCGCGGCCUAUCAGCUUGUUGGUGGGGUGAUGGCCUACCAAGGCGAUGACGGGUAGCCGGCCUGAGAGGGCGACCGGCCACACUGGGACUGAGACACGGCCCAGACUCCUACGGGAGGCAGCAGUGGGGAAUAUUGCACAAUGGGCGGAAGCCUGAUGCAGCGACGCCGUGUGAGGGAUGAAGGCCUUCGGGUUGUAAACCUCUUUCAGCAGGGACGAAGCGUGAGUGACGGUACCUGCAGAAGAAGCGCCGGCAAACUACGUG